rnacentral:rRNA from 1 species
UACAGAGACCUCAAGCGUUAUCCGGAUUUACUGGGCGUAAAGGGUCCGCAGGUGGUUUGGGAAGUCAUUUGUUAAAUCCCAGAGCUUAACUCUGGAACCGCAGAUGAUACUCUCAGACUAGAGGCUGGGAGAGGUAUACGGAACUACUAGUGUAGCGGUAAAAUGCGUUAAUAUUAGUAGGAACACCAAAGGCGAAGGCAGUAUACUGGAACAGUCCUGACACUCAGGGACGAAAGCGUGGGGAGCGAAUAGG